AGUGAACGCUGGCGGUAGGCCUAACACAUGCAAGUCGAACGGCAGCACAGUAAGAGCUUGCUCUUACGGGUGGCGAGUGGCGGACGGGUGAGGAAUACAUCGGAAUCUACUUUUUCGUGGGGGAUAACGUAGGGAAACUUACGCUAAUACCGCAUACGACCUACGGUUGAAAGCAGGGGAUCUUCGGACCUUGCGCGAUUGAAUGAGCCGAUGUCGGAUUAGCUAGUUGGCGGGGUAAAGGCCCACCAAGGCGACGAUCCGUAGCUGGUCUGAGAGGAUGAUCAGCCACAUUGGAACUGAGACACGGUCCAGACUCCUACGGGAGGCAGCAGUGGGGAAUAUUGGACAAUGGGCGCAAGCCUGAUCCAGCCAUACCGCGUGGGUGAAGAAGGCCUUCGGGUUGUAAAGCCCUUUUGUUGGGAAAGAAAAGCAGCAGGUUAAUACCCCGCUGUUCUGACGGUACCCAAAGAAUAAGCACCGGCUAACUUCGUG
rnacentral:rRNA from 1 species